UUCUUGCAGAUGUAACAUCUGUC
rnacentral:snRNA from 1 species